rnacentral:lncRNA from 1 species
UGGCAUAUGGGUAUCUCAACAAGUCUUGACUAACGUACUGUUUAUUUUUCAAAUGGAUUUGCAGGAAUCUUAUUAAAGCAAUGAAGAGACAGAGGCGCAAGCGAAAAGCUCUUUUGUAAUAAACAAAUAAUGAUGCGUGUUUGUUGCGGUCUUAUGUACAGAAGACAGGAUAAGGUGUGAAUUAGUGGUUGUGGAAAUUGGUCACAACUCAAAAAAAAGAUAUAGGGGUGUGGGCUUAGAGUGGAGUUCCCAAAAGGGUAUUUCAAGGAAAAUAUGGGCAAGAAGUAGCAACUGGCUCAUUGCUCUUUUUUUUUCUCUUUUUCCCUUUUUUGGUUCCUAAAAAGAAAAGAAAAUAAAGUCUCCCGUUUGCUCCCCCUUCUUCUCUUACCUUGUGUUGAUUUCUUGUAUUACAGGUUUCCUCGUGUUAAUGAUAGUUUUGCAGUUGGAUCAAAAUAUAGGAUCCUUCUUCCUGUCUAUUUACUCUCUUUUUUAAUUUUUUAUCGUUUGGUAAUUUGGAGUUUACUUUUGCGAAGCGCCAUACUUUGAUUCACGUUUUCAACGUAUAAAAUUUAAAUAUGUGAAUGAUCAUUUAUAUUCCUACCACAAAGAGGCUAAAAAUUGGUCAGUUGUCCAAUUCGCGCAUGACAAAAGAGAGCUACAACUUGGGCUAUGGGAGCAAGUUGAGACAGAGACAACUUGGGACAAGGCUUAAAUUGCAUAUUUAUCUUCUUCUUUUUAGAGAGUGACUAAACAAAUUUUACAAUCUUUAGCUUGAUUUUGUAUCUGUUAGUGGAUUUCAUAUCUUUCUGUUUUCAGCUCCAUUGUUAUUAUUAGGUAUACAUGCUUUGCUCCUUUAGAAAUAUUAAUGAUACGUUAUUUUCUGUUUUUAUAGUUGCAAGAAAUCAACAGAUAUGUGUUGCCGUCAUUUUCUUCAAGUAACUCACAACUGUGUCAUUUGAAAUGCCCAAAUUUUUGUGCAAUUGCAGUGUAGAAAACACUAAUCCACAAGAAAAAAAAAAA